UUGAACGCUGGCGGCAUGCCUUACACAUGCAAGUCGAACGGUAGAGGGGCAACCCUUGAGAGUGGCGAACGGGUGAGUAAUAUAUCGGAACGUGCCCAGUCGUGGGGGAUGACGCAGCGAAAGCUGCGCUAAUACCGCAUACGAUCUAUGGAUGAAAGCGGGGGAUCGCAAGACCUCGCGCGAUUGGAGCGGCCGAUAUCAGAUUAGGUAGUUGGUGGGGUAAAAGCCACCA
rnacentral:rRNA from 1 species